rnacentral:rRNA from 1 species
AACGAACGCUGGCGGCAUGCCUAACACAUGCAAGUCGAACGAGACCUUCGGGUCUAGUGGCGCACGGGUGCGUAACGCGUGGGAACCUGCACUUAGGUUCGGAAUAACUCCCCGAAAGGGGUGCUAAUACCGGAUAAUGUCUUCGGACCAAAGAUUUAUCGCCUUUGGAUGGGCCCGCGUUGGAUUAGCUAGUUGGUAGGGUAAAAGCCUACCACGGCGACGAUCCAUAGCUGGUCUGAGAGGAAGAUCAGCCACACUGGGUCUGAGACACGGCCCAGACUCCUACGCGAGGCAGCAGAGGGGAAUAUUGGACAAUGGGCGAAAGCCUGAUCCAGCAAUGCCGCGUGAGUGAUGAAGGCCUGAGGGUUGUAAAGCUCUUUUACCCGCGAUGAUAAUGACAGUACCGGGAGAAUAAGCUCCGGCUAACUCCGUG